GCGGGGAUAGCUCAGCUGGGAGAGCGUCAGACUGAAGUCCAACUUCAGGAGUUUCAUUCAUCAAUCUGAAGGCCGUGUGUUCGAUCCACACUCACCGCA
rnacentral:tRNA from 1 species